rnacentral:rRNA from 1 species
GAUGAACGCUAGCGGCAGGCCUAACACAUGCAAGUCGAGGGGUAGAGUUAGCUUGCUAACUUGAGACCGGCGCACGGGUGCGUAACGCGUAUGCAAUCUACCUUGUACAGAGGGAUAGCCCAGAGAAAUUUGGAUUAAUACCUCAUAGUGUUAUGAUGUGGCAUCACAUUAUAACUAAAGUUCCAACGGUACAAGAUGAGCAUGCGUCCCAUUAGUUAGUUGGUAAGGUAACGGCUUACCAAGACAAUGAUGGGUAGGGGUCCUGAGAGGGGGAUCCCCCACACUGGUACUGAGACACGGACCAGACUCCUACGGGAGGCAGCAGUGAGGAAUAUUGGUCAAUGGGCGCAAGCCUGAACCAGCCAUGCCGCGUGCAGGAUGACGGUCCUAUGGAUUGUAAACUGCUUUUAUACAGGAAGAAACACUCCCUCGUGAGGGAGCUUGACGGUACUGUAGGAAUAAGGAUCGGCUAACUCCGUGCCAGCCGCCGCAGUAACAC